rnacentral:rRNA from 1 species
GAUGAACGCUGGCGGCGUGCCUAAUACAUGCAAGUCGAGCGAACAUACGAGGAGCUUUCUCCUCUGACGUUAGCGGCGGACGGGUGAUUAACACGUGGAUAACCUACCUAUAAGACUGGGAUAACUUCGGGAAACCGGAGCUAAUACCGGAUAAUUUAUUGACCCGCAUGGUUCAAUAGUGAAAGACGGUUUUGCUUUCACUUAUAGGUGGAUCCGCGCCGCAUUAGCUAGUUGGUAAGGUAACGGCUUACCAAGGCAACGAUGCGUAGCCGACCUGAAAGGGAGAUCGGCCACACGGGAACUGAGACACGGUCCACACUCCUACGGGAGGCAGCAGUAGGGAAUCUUCCGCAAUGGGCGAAAGCUUGACGGAGCAACGCCGCGUGAGUGAUGAAGGUCUUCGGAUCGUAAAACUCUGUUAUUCGGGAAGAACAAAUGUGUAAGUAACUAUGCACGUCUUGACGGUACCUAAUCAGAAAGCCACGGCUAACUACGUG